UGGCUCUGGCAUCGAUGAAGAACGCAGCGAAAUGCGAUAAGUAAUGUGAAUUGCAGAAUUCAGUGAAUCAUCGAAUCUUUGAACGCACAUUGCGCCCCCUGGUAUUCCGAGGGGCAUGCCUGUUCGAGCGUCAUUAUCACCCCUCAAGCUCUGCUUGGUGUUGGGGCAUGCCCGCAAAGGCAGCCCUUAAAAUCAGUGGCGGUGCCGUCCGGCUCUAAGCGUAGUAACUAAUCCUCGCUAUGGUGCCCGGGCGGUCGCUGGCCAGAACCCCAAACUUUUACAAUGAUUGACCUCGGAUCAGGUAGGGAUACCCGCUGA
rnacentral:misc_RNA from 1 species